rnacentral:sRNA from 1 species
CCCUAGCCCUGAUGGGAGCGGCAUCUCCCGAUUUAGAAAAACAAGGCUUUUUAGCCAUAGUUUUUGUUUAUCUGGAAUAUAGCGGACAGCAGGAAUCAGC